rnacentral:rRNA from 1 species
UGGGGAAUUUUGGACAAUGGGCGAAAGCCUGAUCCAGCAAUGCCGCGUGUGUGAAGAAGGCCUUCGGGUUGUAAAGCACUUUUGUCCGGAAAGAAAUCCUCUGGGUUAAUACCUCGGGGGGAUGACGGUACCGGAAGAAUAAGCACCGGCUAACUACGUGCCAGCAGCCGCGGUAAUACGUAGGGUGCAAGCGUUAAUCGGAAUUACUGGGCGUAAAGCGUGCGCAGGCGGUCCGCUAAGACAGAUGUGAAAUCCCCGGGCUUAACCUGGGAACUGCAUUUGUGACUGGCGGGCUAGGGUAUGGCAGAGGGGGGUAGAAUUCCACGUGUAGCAGUGAAAUGCGUAGAGAUGUGGAGGAAUACCGAUGGCGAAGGCAGCCCCCUGGGCCAAUACUGACGCUCAUGCACGAAAGCGUGGGGAGCAAACAGGAUUAGAUACCCUGGUAGUCCACGCCCUAAACGAUGUCAACUAGUUGUCGGGUCUUCAUUGACUUGGUAACGUAGCUAACGCGUGAAGUUGACCGCCUGGGGAGUACGGUCGCAAGAUU